rnacentral:rRNA from 2 species
AGCAUCCGUAGCUCGUUUUGUAAGUUUUCGGUUAAAUCCAUGCGCUUAACGUAUGGGCUGCCGGGAAUACUGCAUAACUAGGAAGUGGGAGAGGUAGACGGUACUCAGUAGGAAGGGGUAAAAUCCUUUGAUCUAUUGAUGACCACCUGUGGUGAAGGCGGUCUACCAGAACACGUUCGACGGUGAGGGAUGAAAGCUGGGGGAGCAAACCGGAUUAGAUACCCGGGUAGUCCCAGCUGUAAACUAUGCAAACUCAGUGAUGCAUUGGCUUGUGGCCAAUGCAGUGCUGCAGGGAAGCCGUUAAGUUUGCCGCCUGGGAAGUACGUACGCAAGUAUGAAACUUAAAGGAAUUGGCGGGGGAGCACAAGC